UUGAGGCAGAUUUAGUCCUAUAGAUCUGGUUGUGGAGCUUGUUACAAUGCUGUAAAAAUUGCUGCGAAAGCCAGAGAUCCCGUUCCAUCUAUCAUCCGAAGCUGCUUGAAAGACCAGCGCGCAUCUUCCAGGCGUAAGGAAGCUGUCAUGCUGAUCCAAUUGUCAAACAAGGAGCGCAAGAAAUUGCAGAGAUGAAGGCAUCUCUCUUCAAUGUUUCUAUUUUCUGUUGCGAUUGCACUUUAGACUCUCGUUCACGAUUUCAAGCUUCCGUUGAGGCCUCCAACGCUUGAUCUUACAACUUUGUUUGGUCUCAGUCACGUCGUCUUUUGCUGGAUCCUGCUAUACAUGCACAAUUUACGCGUA